UCUACCAAACCCUACACUUUACUCUUUUCUCCUUUCUUCUCUACCAAACCCUACGAAGGUUUUCUCUCAACAUUUCUUCCCUUUCUUGCUUUCUCAAUCUCAUCACUUUCUCCGCUCUCUUCUCUGAUCAGUCGCCAACGCGUGUGAACUCGUCGCCGUGCUAUCAUCGGAGGCAGCUUCUUCCGUUGCCGCAUCGCGCUCGUGCCUCACGUGGAACACUCACCCUCCUCACCACCGGCACGUUACCGGCUCGGGAUGUUCGCAAGCAGGUGGUACAAUUGCCAUGGAUGCUGAUGCUACAGCAGCAUUGCGCAAACAGGGAGUUGCUUUAACAGAUGACAAAUUCAAAUUUAUUUGCUUCAAGGUAUGAAUCAGUUCAAGCCCAUUUUUUUGGGUACUGUUGAUCCUAACACGUCUUUGAGCAAGCUCACCCAAGCUUGUAAUACUCAGAAAUGUAUUCGUGCUAGUGGGAAACACAAUGAUCUUGAUGACGUUGGAAAAGACACGUAUCACCAUACUUUCUUUGAGAUGCUUGGAAAUUGGUCAUUUGGGGAUUACUUUAAAAAGGAAGCCAUCACAUGGGCCUGGGAACUUCUUACUCAGGUUUAUAAGCUUCCCACAGAUCGAAUUUAUGCUACCUACUUCGGUGGAGAUGAGAAAGCUGGUCUUGCACCUGAUAAUGAGGCUAGGGACAUAUGGCUGAAGUUUUUGCCUGCUGAACGUGUCUUACCUUUUGGCUACAAAAAGCUUCAAUUAUCAAAGAAAACAAAUAUCAGUGAACAAUUGUGUCCAUCUCUGUGUGUGUGUUUGUGUGUGUGUGUGUGUGUGUGUUCAAUUCAUGUCAGCUCUUGGAACUUUUGUCUAAUUUUAUUCUUUGAUUUUGAGCAGGACAAUUUCUGGGAGAUGGGUGAUACUUGCCCUUGUGGAUAGACUAUUAGAAAGUAAAUUAUUCUUAUUAGUUGCACAAUUAAUUAUUAACAAUAUGGGUGAUAGUUGCUUCUCUUAUCAUUGUUAAAUAUUGAUAUUUGGACUUAUUAUGUCUUUCAUAUUUUGUCAUGUUUGGUUUUGUCAUCCAACUUCACUCUUUGAACAUUUAAAGCUUCAAAAAAUAAUUUUUCGUGCCUUAAAAAAAUCCUUGAUAGGUAAUGAGGGGCGUGAGUAUGUUUUGAGACGUAUUCUUCGUCGAGCAGUUCGAUAUGGAAGUGAAGUUUUAAAAGCUCAAGAAGGAUUUUUCAAUGGACUUGUGAGUAUUGUGGUGAAAGUGAUGGGUGAUGUCUUCCCGGAGCUAAAACAACAUGAACUACGAAUUAGGGAGAUAAUUGCAGAGGAGGAAGCAUCUUUUGGGAAAACUUUACUAAAGCAAGCAGGUGGUACAAUUGCCAUGGAUGCUGAUGCUACAACAGCAUUGCGCAAACAGGGAGUUGCUUCAACAGAUGACAAAUUCAAAUUUAUUUGGUUCAAGGGAGUUAUCACUAAACAAAUGACUGCAAUAGAAGAAAUGGUUGCAAGUGAGUACAAUUAGCCAGACCCUCAUCUUUGUGACAAGAUCUUGAAGUUGGUCAUUUGUGAAGCGUUCUACUUUGCUAUUAGUUGCAGUUUUAGUUAUUGUUCUUACAAUAUAUUCUUUUUCUUUCUUUCUUUCUUUUUUUCCAAAGGAUGAUCAGUGUAAUAAUUAAGCUUCAUAAUUUCUGUGUUUGGAUCCAAGUUGUAUAUAAAUGUCACAUUAUUAAGAUUUCAUUUUGUAUAUGUACAAGUAAAAGAUUUCAUUUUUAA